rnacentral:tRNA from 1 species
ACCUGGGUGGCUCAGUUGGUUGAGCAUCUGGCUUUGGCUCUGGUCAUGAUCCCACAGUUCGCGGGUUUGAGCCCCGUGUCAGGUU